UACGUAAGAUCCAAGCGUUGUCCGGAUUUAUUGGGUUUAAAGGGUGCGUAGGCGGUAUAUUAAGUCUGUGGUGAAAGCCUGCAGCUUAACUGCAUAAUUGCCUCUGAAACUGACAUCCUUGAGUGUGGUUGAGGUGGAUGGAAUGCAUCAUGUAGCGGUGAAAUGCUUAGAUAUGAUACAGAACACCGAUUGCGAAGGCACUCCGCUAAACCAUUACUGACGCUGAUGCACGAAAGCCUGGGGAGCGAACAGGAUUAGAUACCCUGGUAGUCCUUGCUGUAAACGAUUGAAACACUACGAUGUCUGGCGGAAUACACAUGCCCACUCCGUCCGACGCGAAAACCAGUUAAGUGUUCCACCUGCCUGAGUACGAUCGCCAGGUUGAAACUCACAGGAAUUGACGGGGGACCGCCCAAGCGGUGGAGCAGGUGGAUUACAUCGAUGAUACCAGAGGAACCUUUUCAGGGCUUAAAUGGGGUCGGACCCCUGCCGAAAGGUGGCUUUUUUUAGGCAGAGAUGUCAAGGUGCUGCAUGGCUGUCGUCAGCUCGUGCCGCGAGGUGGUGGUCUAAGUCGCCUCAACGGAGACGCUACGCCCUUUUUUGUAGUUGGUAAGCGCGGUAACUCAUGAGGACUCUAAAGAUGCUGCCUACGUAAGUAGUGAGGAAGGUGGGGACGAUAAUCAAGUCGUCAUGGCCGAUACGUUCUGGUCUUCACGCGCGCUACAAUGGGGAUUACAAUGAGCAGCCACUGGCCGACACGGAGCAAAUCUCAAAAAAAUCGUUUCAGUUUGGAUUGGAGUUUGCAACUUGGCUCCCAGAAACUGGAAUCGCUAGUAAUCGCAGAUCAACCAUGAUGCGGUGAAUACGUUCCCGGGCCU
rnacentral:rRNA from 1 species